AAAUUGAGUUAUUUGUAGUGAGGUGGAUGGACCUAGAGACUGUCAUACAGAGCAAGGUAAGAAAAUACACCCAAGUUGCAGUCGGGUUUGAACAGUGAACACUGAAGAACUGGCGACUUCAUAGUAAUGUAAACUGCCCGACAUCUUUUAGGUGCAUGUUCAGUCCCUCUCAGUCGCCCCUGUAGGGGCUGACAAGUAUUGGAGUCUCUUACCAACGCUGGGACUGGGGAAAGCAGAUUCCCGAAGAGCAAGCGUGCAAACACGUACGUUGUAGAAUUUAACCACCUCCCUUCUAAGAUUAGAGCCUUUGAACGGGAAGAAAAGCAAGCGUGAGAGCACGCAGCCACUCAAAGCUGCUCCAUGCCACAGCCGGAGAAGUGAGUCAACUCAGUCAAGAAUAAUUACGGAGAUAUUUGGACAUCCCUGAUGCCAACAGCAUAAUCUCAACUAUGGGCCCGAGGUUCAAGAAUUGAGAAUUGUUGCAGGCAAAUCCACACGUGCAUGUGUUUCUCCCUCCCGUUUUGAAACCUAAUGACCUCAACAUUGGGUUUGCCACGCACAUCUUCCAUUUUUCACUUCCCCUGGCAUUCGAAAGAAAUCCCUGCCUGUGUCUGGAUUUCCUCACAUGCAUCGCCUGGGCAACGUUAGUUGUGAAAUACCAGAAUGGUUACAGCAAAGACAUCUCUCUUCAGCAAACAGAGCCCAGAGUUCUGAUGGAUGGUGCUAACAGCGAUAGGAUGCUGCAUCCCACGAAGAUGAAGGAACUUGUCUACUUUUUCAGAUCUACAGUUUCUCUGGCACUUGCUUUGGACGGUGAUUGGACCCAUGCAUACUUAAAAGAUAAAAACAGGUGAUCUCCAUGCCUAAUUACAAUAACUGAAGUAGCACCCCAAGGAAGUAGCUAUAAAGUGAACUUGAAAGUACUAAUUAAAAAAAUGCAUCUCAUCUGUAACUGGUUUGUAGAAAAGUCUAAAUUUAUUAGGGAUAGAAAGUGUUUUUUAACUUUUGUUGAAUCCCCUCUGCCCCCCCGCCCUUUUUUUUGGUUGUGGCUCUUCUCACGACAUCUUGACCAAAUUCUAACUUUCUUAUCAGUUUUAGGGUUUAAGACCAAGCCCUGUUCAUUUAAAACACUUUAAACUUGAACUUGACUUAAAGCUUGGCUCUUCUCUCCUCCCCAACUCCAGUGGAAGCCAGGGCUGUGGGCCCGGCGUCUUGGAGGGGAGCAGGGGUUUGGUUCUGAGGUUCCUCCACACCCUGCCUCCACUAAUUCAAGCUCCUGGAGGGUUGGAGCCAGGCAGGAGGUGUGAGGGCUGGCUUUGGUCACUGUCACAUGUCAGAGUGGGGAGGGGACCCUGCUACUGGGCUGCCACUCGUCUUCUCACCUCUGAGCUCCUUCACAUGCAAGCGGAGGGUGGCUGGAGCUUCCCCAUCUUCUUCCCAGGAACAAGAAACCAGGGUGCCUUCAAGCUCUGUGGGAGGGGCUCCUCCCACCAGCAGGUGAGUCACCUCUAUGCAUAAGUACGUCCCCUCUCUUCAGGGCACCCAUGCCAAGCACCCCUCUCUUCUUCCCCAUGGCGGUUGGAGGUGUAGAUGGAGAAGGAAAGCAAACCCUACCCCUAGCCUCCUAGAGCACCCUCCCAUGAACGCUUGUGCUGGGCCUUGAGUGGCAGGAACAGCGCAGGCCCGUGAGCUCUGCAGCUCAGCACACGCCCAGCCAGAGAAGAGCUGCCCUCGUACAUUUUAGAAGCACCUACAUUGUUAGGGGUGAGCGUCUUGGAACUCCCUUUCACUCGACAUUAGGGAUGGGAAGCUCUCCUCCUGGCCCCCACGGGUAGUGAAUAACUCGGCAUCAAGAACACCGUACUCUCUGCAAGUCUGUCUACACUUCCCUCCCUCCAGCCCUCUUCUCCCACAGUUGGGGGUGUGUGGGAGGCAGAGAGAGCGGCAUCGUCCUGCACAGGAGCUGCAAGGCCUGUGGGGAGGCGGCUACUGCCUGUUAGAAGAUGCUCACUUUGAAUGGGAGGGUUCUUAGUGCAUUUUGACCUCAGCUUUGGGUCAAAGCACAGUCUUGGUUCAAAAGGAAAAUUCCACGUCCUGAGCAGGAUUUGCAGCUUGUUAACCCCAUCUGUAAACACACACUUAGUGUGGAAGAGGAAGCAGCAGGAGAAGCACGUGACAGGCCUCGUCCUGUUGGCCAGUGUGGUUGCUCUUCUAUAAAAUGGGCGAGAGCAGGUGGUGGUGUCUAGAAUGAAGAAUCCAGUUUUGAAUUGUAAAGAUCCUUGGGAAAAUUUCGUACAAAAAUUACAAAGGUGAUGGGGCUUCAGUAUGUAUCCACACAGGCUGGUGAUUUCAUUCACUAGACUACACCACCCCAUAAAGACAGGCACCAGAGCUGGUCUUGAUAUCGAUUAUAUAUCCAGCGCUCACCACGGUGCAUGGCACACAGAGGGCAGUCGAUGCAUUAUCUGUUGAAUAGUUGAAUGCAUGGAAGUAAUUGGGGGCCACUCGUGACUCUAUCCUUAACAACUAGUUGCUAUCUGCUAACAUUGUCUGAACUCUUAAUGUGUGUGCAUCAAAUACUGUUCUAGGUUCCCCGGAAGCUAUGAAGAUGGUCAAUUCCUGUCCUCAAAAAGUUUAUGAUGAAGGGUAGGAAACAGAUUGGCAUGACUGCCUACUAAUAGUGCCUUCAGCUAUCCAUCUGGGAGAAAGCAAGGACCCAGUCUUUCAAGACAGCAGGGAGUGGGAGGUGGAGAAGCCCCUGGCGCAACUCUGACCCGGAUACAGCCCUGAUCCGAAUUGUUGCAAGUGAGGUUGAACUCAUUCCUUCCUGUUCCCCUAGUGUGACACGGGGGUCACCCAGCUAGCAAUGGAAGUGACUCAGAAGCCUCCCAACUCACAAUGAUGCGUAAGUGGAGAGAACAUUCAUUGAACUGGAAGAGAGGUGCGUUCGAGAUAACAAAGCUCAUGGGUUGCUGUCUUGGAUUCUCUUAUAAUCCUCCCUCUUUCCCUGGAACUAGCCAUACUGGAGUUUAGCUCUGAGAUUAGUUCUGUUUUUCCCUCCUCAUUAUAUAUCACAAAUUCCCUCCAAAUUGUUUUCUGUUUGGGUCUUAAUAUAGAGUCAGGUAACUAACUUUUCCAUGUACCUUCUGGUUUAUGGAUAAACCAGCUCUUGAAAGCGGUAACCUGAGUGGACGGUCCCUAAGAAGGGAAAUAAGUGGUGAGAAUUUCAGACUUGAGGCAGACUCAUGGCAGGGGGCGGGGAUGGGGGCGGGGGGAGGGAGGAGGCUUGGUAUUUGGGGUUGUCAGUUGCAGCUUCCCCAUUCCCCCAGAGGGUGGUCCUUCACUCCUCUGAGGUCCCCCACCAUGCAUCCAGGAUCCACCUUCACCCCUUAGCCCUGAGGCAACCCAGGGCAACUGUCCCCUGAGAAUAGUAACCAGAUUCUCUGGUCUCACUGGAGACUUUGGGAAUCAAGUAAAAGGCAAGAGUGAGACUGAACUGCCCGAGGGAGGGAUGCCCAUGUACCUCUCUGCAAAGUGGGUGUCGGGAAGGAGCAUAGCUGCAGCCCUUCAGUCUCAUCUGACCAUGGACAGGCCACCAAGUGGAACUUCAAGUCCAGUAAUCAGAGAACCAAGCAGAGGAAGACCCAGGUGCAACAAAGUGAGUGUUGAUAACUCAACAGAGCCUUGCUCAGAGAAAGUGCUCUCUUACACUGACCAUGGAUUUGACCCUUGGCAGAAGGACGCCCCUAAGCUGGGAAAGCCAAUUCCCUGAGGCCACUUUCAUUUAUUUGGAACACCCAGAUCAAAUCCUGUCAAUCCAAAGGCUCUCAUCCCACACGGUGUGAAUAUUUAUAUAUAAAGCGUGUGUCAGUCUGGCUGGUGGCAUGGACCGCCGCAGCCAACAGCACACAGAAUGAGCCUGGAAAGAAAAAUGUACUUGGCGGCUGUCCUUGGAAAGCUCUUCGAAGGGAUCUCUGUUUGAAAUGUUUUCCAGCUGUUAUUUCCUUUCUGAACAAUCGGAGCCUAAUUCAAUUUGUGGCACCUUUCUCCUCUCCAGAUUUUUGUCAGAAGGCAAAUUACCCGCAUAUGCCUCUCUACAAUCAUAUAGAUGGUUUUGCUGGUUUGGGCUGAGACUUUCACUGAAUUGUAAAUAAAUGAUCCUGUUGGUACAGGGGAGGCGUAGUCUACAUGACGUGGUCUUUCAAUUACAUGGUGUGAUGGCAGACUAGCAAGAUGCUGUGCAUUAUCUCCAGAAUUCUGGGGGUAAGAAGGUCAACAGCUGUCUCCGAGCUGACUCAGGGCAGAUCCACGUUAAUUACUGUGUUUCUGGGGGAGCUGGGGGAGACAAAGCAGAGAGCGCCAAGAACACCCAUGGGUUACAGUUAAAAAACAAAACAAAAACCAAUGAAGCUUGACUUUGGAAACAGUUCCAUCCUUAUAUAUCAUAAAAACUAUUUAUGAAACAAAACAUGACUCCAUAGAUACACCACCAGCACUUGACUUUGGAAACAGUUCCAUCCUUAUAUAUCAUAAAAACUAUUUAUAAAACAAAACAUGACUCCAUAGAUACAACUUUCCUUCUGGCUUAAUCAUUUCCCCACCCAGCUUCCACUCCCAGGGCGGUUGGCAGUGAAGUUAGAGACAGAAGGGGAUAAAAAGCCACAGAAAAGAGACUGAAGAAGUUAGAAUUCAAAACAUAAGUUGUCACCUUGCCAGAAACGGACGAGAAUCUGGACUCCCUGACUUGCCUGGGGAUGCUGGUGAAGACACCACACCGCGUGGGAACAGGAGGCGAAUCCAGCUCAGCCGAGUCGACCGGCUGCGUGGACUUCAUUUCUGUCCUCCCAUCUCUGGGAACCAGCCUCCCAAAUAACAGCAACCUGCACAGAGCUUGUGUUUGCCACCCUCCUGUUUCCCCACCAGGGUCUCCAUUCUCCCUCCAUUUUCUUUCCCCUUCAGCUGGCUUUCAACUUGAUUCCUCAUAAAACGUUAAUGGCGAGGUAAGUUUUAUUUGACGGUAUCUCAGGAUGUGCCAUUUCCCAAGGAAGCCAUGUUUUCUUUAACACAGUAGCAGGCACAAGGGGUUACAUUAUUGAGAUAUAAUAACCUUAUGUGCAUUCCUGACUCUGGUCCGAGGCCUAAAUUAAUCGGAUUCUCUCCUGCUCCCAUCUAAAGCUCAGAGCAGAUACUCCUGUGUUGCAGAUGGGUCUUUGCUACUCACAGUGUGGUUCACGGAGCUGCAGGGGUGACAUCACCUGGCAGCUUGUUAGAACGCAAAUCUCAGACCCCACCCUCGCCAUAACCACUGGAUCAGAAUCUUCACUUUUGUAAAGUCCCCCCGCUGAUCGACAUGCACAAUAAAGUUUGAGAAGCAAGUGGUCUAAGCAAGUGGUUUUCAAACUGGGCUGCCACUCGUUAGUAAGUCAUGAAAUCAAUUCAGUGCUUGCGACCAGGAUUUUAAAAACAAUGCAAUCAUAUAGAGAACAUAUCUUGAGAAUAAAUCUUGUGAAAUGUUGCAAUAAUUGUUAAGUGUUGGGUCAGUGUGUAAAAUGUGUGUUUUUCCAGUGGGUCAAUGUCAAAACAUUUGAAAGCUGCUGAUCUUUAUUUAAAAAUUUUUUUAAAUUUAUUUUUGGCUGUAUUGGGUCUUUGUUGCUGCGCGCAGGC